rnacentral:rRNA from 1 species
AUGGAUGUUGCAGUGUCGGUUGUUACUUUACACGUGAGCAUCUCUAUACAAGGCAAUGACCUGACUCAUGUGCUUCUCAGUGAUCUGAUUCCCCGCAACGUCUUCACUGCCUACCUCUCAAGGUCUAUUAUGAGUGUGGUUGCUUCUUAUGGCCCAUGGAGCUCUGGUUAUGGUCUUCCUCCCCUGAAUAUGCAAAUGCCAACUCCUACUACUAGUUUCCAAGUUGACAAUGAAGAGAGGUUGGGAUUAUGGUGUGCUUCUCCCCCCGCAUUCUGUCUGAAACACCAAGGACUUCUACUGUCCAAAUUACUGAACUUCUGUCUGAAGAACCUGUUCUAA